rnacentral:rRNA from 1 species
AACUCCCAAACCCCUGUGAACAUACCACUUGUUGCCUCGGCGGAUCAGCCCGCUCCCGGUAAAACGGGACGGCCCGCCAGAGGACCCCUAAACUCUGUUUCUAUAUGUAACUUCUGAGUAAAACCAUAAAUAAAUCAAAACUUUCAACAACGGAUCUCUUGGUUCUGGCAUCGAUGAAGAACGCAGCAAAAUGCGAUAAGUAAUGUGAAUUGCAGAAUUCAGUGAAUCAUCGAAUCUUUGAACGCACAUUGCGCCCGCCAGUAUUCUGGCGGGCAUGCCUGUUCGAGCGUCAUUUCAACCCUCAAGCACAGCUUGGUGUUGGGACUCGCGUUAAUUCGCGUUCCUCAAAUUGAUUGGCGGUCACGUCGAGCUUCCAUAGCGUAGUAGUAAAACCCUCGUUACUGGUAAUCGUCGCGGCCACGCCGUUAAACCCCAACUUCUGAAUGUUGACCUCGGAUCAGGUAGGAAUACCCGCUGAACUUAAGCAUAUCAAA